ensembl:lncRNA
GUUUCCUAAUUGCCUCAUUGCCUCAGUUUUUCUGUGUUCUUGAAGAUUCGCUCCAGUGGUUCCAUAGAACACUUCCUUUUCCCUGCCAGUUUGUGAUUGUCCGCAUCAGCUUGCAGCAUAGCAGCUGCCUCGGAUCCAACUAUCACACCCCCAUCCUUCCUAGUACAUGUUAGCAGCCCAGCAGAGCGUGACUGACUAUACACCAUGGCUCCAAGUCCCUGAGAUUACUCCCCUCAGAGAGCUGAGGGAUGAAAACUGAAGUUAGGACAAAGUUCAUUGCUGUAAAUACCCAAUUCACUAUCAAAGUAUGGGGCCCCAACACCUGACAUGUGUUUGAACAGCAGAGAUAGCAUGCCUUUUUAUUUACAGUUAUAUCCCAUGCCUCAGAGAUGGGGAGAUAGCCUGUGCUUCCCAGCACUGGCAACAGGCAUGCCGGGAAGAAGAGGGUUUGACUCUUGAUGGGAAGGAGGUGGAAUUCAGCCAAGGCAGCCAGCAUAGCAUGAGGAACAGACUGAAAUCAACACAGGAAGUGGGCCACACUGACAAAGACCAAGACACAUAUCUGGUUUGGGCUUGGACUGAGGUCAGGACAUCUGUGUUGAGAUUAUUAAAAAGAGUCAUCAAUUUAGUUAGUACAAUUUAACCCUUCAUUCUCUUUGAUUAAUUGACCUCUCUUCUAUUUCAGUCAUGAGGAUCACACCAAUGGCCUUUCAUAUGUAUAACAAGUCAUCUAUGACUGACUUAAAUCCACGGCUGAAUUCUUAGGACUGGGCAGAACAGUCUAAGGUGAUAGCCAUAUUUUCACAAGAGCUCAGGAAAUGAACCUCACUCUGUGGAACUGAAAGCUGGUGGCUGAACUGAGAACUCUGCCACACUGUGAUCCAAACCAGGGCUGCCACCUGCAGGAACAACUCAAAGUCUGUUUAUGUCAUGCUGAAGUUGUUAAAUUGCAAGAUGUUUCCGGGCAUCCAUGCAAAGAAGAGAUUAUGAAAAAUCUUUCAUUGUUUUCUUCUCAGUACACAAUGGUUGCCAAGGUUGACUCCAGUGCUGUAUCAACGUGAUGAUCUUCCUAGUCUAAACCUUUACUUUCUAGAGUUUCAGGGACAACUGUUAGCAUCAUCUGGACUAGAUGCAUCUCAGAAAAACAACAGCAACAACAACAGCAGCAACAGCAACAGCAAAAAGAGAAACAACAGCAACAACAGAACAGCAACAGCAGCAACAACAGUAACGACAGCAACAAUAACAGCCAAAAACCGAAAAUGGCUUGAUUUAGCCCAGCCAAAGCUGGAGAAAAGGAAAUUUUCAGUCUGCCCUGCUGUGCCUACAGCAGUGUUACAACUUACAGAAGAGAGAAACUAAAGCCAGGAAACACGCACAUGUCAUUUAGCUGUGGUCCUGGACACAGGAACAGACAAAGAGGCUUUUUCAUGGUUCUACUCAGCACAGUAUUUCCUACAGGCUUCCUGUGGUGGUUUCAGUGAGACUCAUCCCAAAAGCUUAUGUAUGUGACUGCUUGAUUCCCAGUGGAAUUGCUUGAGAAGGAUUAGAUGUGGCCUUGCUGGAGUAAGUAUGGCCUUGUUGGAGUAAUUGUGUUUUGGGAGUGGGCUUUGGGGUUUCAAAUUCGCUUGCUGGGCCCAGUCUCUCUCUCUCUCUCUCUCUCUCUC